UACGUAGGGUCCGAGCGUUUGUCCGGAAUUAUUGGGCGUAAAGGGCUCGUAGGCGGUCUGUCGCGUCGGAUGUGAAAGCUCGAGGCUUAACCUCGGGUCUGCAUCCGAUACGGGCAGACUAGAGGCAGGUAGGGGAGAACGGAAUUCCCGGUGUAGCGGUGAAAUGCGCAGAUAUCGGGAGGAACACCGGUGGCGAAGGCGGUUCUCUGGGCCUGUACUGACGCUGAGGAGCGAAAGCGUGGGGAGCGAACAGG
rnacentral:rRNA from 1 species